rnacentral:rRNA from 1 species
CCUACGGGGUGCAGCAGUGAGGAAUAUUGGUCAAUGGACGAGAGUCUGAACCAGCCAAGUAGCGUGAAGGAUGACUGCCCUAUGGGUUGUAAACUUCUUUUAUAUGGGAAUAAAACGUUCCAAGUGUGGGAUUUUGUAUGUACCAUAUGAAUAAGGAUCGGCUAACUCCGUGCCAGCAGCCGCGGUAAUACGGAGGAUACGAGCGUUAUCCGGAUUUAUUGGGUUUAAAGGGAGCGUAGGUGGGUUGUUAAGUCAGUUGUGAAAGUUUGCGGCUCAACCGUAAAAUUGCAGUUGAAACUGGCAGUCUUGAGUACAGUAGAGGUGGGCGGAAUUCGUGGUGUAGCGGUGAAAUGCUUAGAUAUCACGAAGAACUCCGAUUGCGAAGGCAGUUCACUGGACUGCAACUGACACUGAGGCUCGAAAGUGUGGGUAUCAAACAGGAUUAGAUACCCGGGUAGUC